rnacentral:lncRNA from 1 species
GCGGAGCUGCUUUUCAGCAGAGACCUGCAGCAUCAGAAAGAGCCAGUGAGCUGGUGACCUGGGAAAAGAGAGUUGCAGGCAAAGGGAACGGCCAGUGCAGAGGCCGUGGGGUAAGAAUAACCUUGGUGUGCUCCAGGGACAGAAAGAAGACCAGGGCACCCAGUCCACUGAGUGGAAGGAAGAGAAAUAUGCCAAGGGUGGAAAGCCGCCGUGUAAGAAGUACCUUUCACCUUCCACCAUGAUUGUGAGGCCUCCCCAGCCACGUGGAAAUGGCAGGUGCAGAGGAUCCAGCAUGUUAUUCUGAAACCCCAGAAGACGCUGCAGCUACCAAAUAGAAGGAGCCUGGAUCCCUGAAUGUCUUCAUGGAACAGAACAUUCUCCUCACUCCAGUCUGUUUGAACCAGAAUAUGACCUGAGCAAGAAAUAAGCCUUAAUUAUAUUUGACCAUAGAAUUCUGGUGAUAUUUCUAUGGCUGUAAGUCCAUGUUGAUUAAUACAAAGGGAUGCUGUAAAGCCUCUUCUAUUAAAAAAAGUUGCCCAAGGAGUGAAAGGAGAGAUAUUUUCUGUAAUUAAGAUUUUCAUAAUACAUAGAACAGGCUAUAGCACCUGGCAAUCAAUCAUAUGGGGUACAACAGAAAGAGGAAACAUUCCUGCUAUUAAAUUAACCAAACUGGAGUUCUUGUUAUAUAAUAUAGUAAAAUUUCCUCAAUCUUUCAGCCACCUUUAGUUCUGUAAUCUAUUAUUUCUGGGUAAAAGCAUACCAUUUGAUACACAAUCCAAACCCAAUUCUUAAUUAAUAACGUGUAUCCACUGUAUCUUACCACAUCCCAAAUCAUCUAAUACUUAACCACCUAGUUUCUAUGUUCCACUUACAUCAAACAUAUUCAUGUUUGGAAAAUUGAGCCAGCAUCUACUGCCUUAUCAGCUGAUGCAUAACAAUUUACUUUGUCUGUGCUCUAUAAUAAUGCAAGUCUGCUUGGAAAGAUAACACGUUAAAGGGUUAUCAGACCCUAACACCUUCGUAUAGAUGAAUUUAUCAGAUCCUCUGCUAAACCACUUUCGAAUCCUUGGCCAGUUCUCUACAUUUCAUGAAGAGUUAGCAUAGCCAGUCCAGGAGAUAUUAUCUUCAGGAUGUGGUCAGUUGUGGAAAGGAAGAUAGCUCUGAGGAUCUCUUUCCAGGGAAAAGAAAGACAUGAGGAUUGCUCCAAAGAUCCUCUUUCUGGGGGAAAACGCACAUACUACAG